rnacentral:misc_RNA from 1 species
AAAUGCGAUAAGUAAUGUGAGUUGCAGAAUUCAGUGAAUCAUCGAAUCUUUGAACGCACAUUGCGCCCCCUGGUAUUCCGGGGGGCAUGCCUGUUCGAGCGUCAUUUCACCACUCAAGCCUCGCUUGGUAUUGGGCGACGCGGUCCUCCGCGCGCCUCAAAUCGACCGGCUGGGUCUUUCGUCCCCUCAGCGUUGUGGAAACUAUUCGCUAAAGGGUGCCGCGGGAGGCCACGCCGUAAAACAACCCCAUUUCUAAGGUUGACCUCGGAUCAGGUAGGGAUACCCGCUGAACUUAGGC